rnacentral:ncRNA from 2 species
CCACUAUAGUCGGGGAGCCUUAAGGCUGAGAUCGCAUUGCGAGACCCGUUGAACCUGAUUCAGUUAGCACUGACGUAGGGAACUAUGGCAACCAAUGA